UUCUACGGGGGGCAGCAGUGGGGAAUAUUGGACAAUGGGCGAAAGCCUGAUCCAGCCAUGCCGCGUGUGUGAAGAAGGUCUUCGGAUUGUAAAGCACUUUAAGUUGGGAGGAAGGGCAGUAAGUUAAUACCUUGCUGUUUGACGUACCAACAGAAUAGNCNGAUU
rnacentral:rRNA from 1 species